UACGGGGGGGGGUAAGCGUUGUUCGGAAUUACUGGGCGUAAAGGGCUCGUAGGCGGCCAACUAAGUCAUACGUGAAAUCCCUCAGCUUAACUGGGGAACUGCGUGUGAUACUGGAUGGCUUGGAUUUGGGAGAGGGAUGCGGAAUUCCAGGUGUAGCGGUGAAAUGCGUAGAUAUCUGGAGGAACACCGGUGGCGAAGGCGGCAUCCUGGACCAAUAUUGACGCUGAGGAGCGAAAGGCCAGGGGAGCAAAGCGGGAUUAAGAAACCCGUGGU
rnacentral:rRNA from 1 species